rnacentral:siRNA from 1 species
AUAAUCUAUCAUCUCCAUGUCCGU